GACGAACGCUGGCGGCGUGCUUAACACAUGCAAGUCGAACGAAGUGGCGCACGGGUGAGUAACGCGGAAUCAACCUGCACUUCAGAGGGGGACAACAGGUGGAGACGACUGCUAAUACCGCAUACUGAAGGCGGGGGGUGGGUCUGAUUAGCUAGUUGGAGGGGUAACGGCCCACCAAGGCGAUGGUGAGUAGCCUGUCUGAGAUGGUUAACGGCAACAUUGGGACUUGGGCACGGCCCAGACUUCUACGGGAGGCAGCAGUGGGGAAGUGUUCGCAAUGGACGAAAGUCUGACGGAGCCAAGCCGGGUGAGUGAUGACGGCCUUCGGGGUGUAAAGCUCUGUUAAUCGGGACGCGGUACCGGAAUAGAAAGCCACGGCUAACUACGUGCCAGCCGCCGCGGUAAUAC
rnacentral:rRNA from 1 species